UACGGAGGAUGCGAGCGUUAUCCGGAUUUAUUGGGUUUAAAGGGUGCGUAGGUGGUAGAUUAAGUCAGCGGUGAAAGUUUGUCGCUCAACGAUAAAAUUGCCGUUGAUACUGGUUUACUUGAGUGUAUUUGAAGUAGGCGGAAUGCGUGGUGUAGCGGUGAAAUGCUUAGAUAUCACGCAGAACUCCGAUUGCGAAGGCAGCUUACUAAACUACAACUGACACUGAAGCACGAAAGCGUGGGUAUCAAACAGG
rnacentral:rRNA from 1 species